UACGAAGGGGGCUAGCGUUGCUCGGAAUCACUGGGCGUAAAGCGCACGUAGGCGGCUUCUUAAGUCAGGGGUGAAAUCCUGGAGCUCAACUCCAGAACUGCCUUUGAUACUGGGGAUCUCGAGUCCGGGAGAGGUGAGUGGAACUGCGAGUGUAGAGGUGAAAUUCGUAGAUAUUCGCAAGAACACCAGUGGCGAAGGCGGCUCACUGGCCCGGUACUGACGCUGAGGUGCGAAAGCGUGGGGAGCAAACAGG
rnacentral:rRNA from 1 species